CUAGAAACUGGAGAUACAAUGGUGAACCAGGCCCAUGGCUGCUUGAAUGAAUGGCUUUAACCAUCUAUUAAUAUAGCUGCUGUAGGAAGCAAGUGACAGUAACCACAGCUUUAGAAAAGAGGCCACAGCUCCACCCAGAAUUCUCGAGAGUUUUCCACACUUCUUGACAAUGAAUGUUCAGACUCAAAAGAAUACAUUGCGACUGGCACAGCAAGCAGCAUGAACAUCACAGUCGCCAGGGUCCCCUUGCUUCCCGAGUCCUCCAGCAGUGCCAGUGAGCCAUCCAGGGAAAACUACCGCUGUCUUCCACGGCAGUUUGCUGUGUGACCGUCCCAGCAGAGGGUGCGCAGAGCAGAAUUUGUUUUGGCCCAGGAGAUACAGAAACACAAGGGCCCUGUACGGAACAGUCCAGCGGUGCUUCCUGUGUGCCCUGCGCUAUUGUAUAAACCCUGCAGUCUCCUGGGAGGUGUUUGGAGUCUCCUGGAAUUGAAUUGCAUGCAGGAGAAGAAACUGUGCUUCCUGAGCAGGUCCCGUGUGCCCAGUGCUGCCCUAUAGCAGGGACACAGAUGGGUGUCUUUCCUUUCUGCCCUCUCCGUGCUCUGGGCGGGCUACCAAGUCCAUGUCAAUUACUACCAGGAGUGAGGGAGUUUUUUUACACUAGUUCUGUUAUUGUAACCUUUCCUAGUUUUAUUAAUCUCUUUAAUU